UUUUAUUUAGUUUAAGUAAAAUAAUUACUUGUCAAGUAAUUGAUGCUAUUGUUAGCGAUGUGUGAUAC
rnacentral:tRNA from 1 species